GCUGUCGUCAGCUCGUGUAGAGAAAUGUUGGGUUAAGUCCCGCAACGAGCGCAACCCUUAUCCUUUGUUGCCAGCGGUCAGGCCGGGAACUCAAAGGAGACUGCCAGUGAUAAACUGGAGGAAGGUGGGGAUGACGUCAAGUCAUCAUGGCCCUUACGACCAGGGCUACACACGUGCUACAAUGGCGCAUACAAAGAGAAGCGACCUCGCGAGAGCAAGCGGACCUCAUAAAGUGCGUCGUAGUCCGGAUUGGAGUCUGCAACUCGACUCCAUGAAGUCGGAAUCGCUAGUAAUCGU
rnacentral:rRNA from 1 species